rnacentral:rRNA from 1 species
UACAGAGGUCUCAAGCGUUGUUCGGAUUCAUUGGGCGUAAAGGGUGCGUAGGUGGCGAGGUAAGUCGGAUGUGAAAUCCCGGGGCUCAACCCUGGAACUGCAUUCGAUACUGCCCUGCUAGAGUACUGGAGAGGAGAUUGGAAUUUACGGUGUAGCAGUGAAAUGCGUAGAUAUCGUAAGGAAGACCAGUGGCGAAGGCGGAUCUCUGGACAGUUACUGACACUGAGGCACGAAGGCCAGGGGAGCAAACGGG